GAAAUGCGAUAAGUAGUGUGAAUUGCAGAAUUCAGUGAAUCAUCGAAUCUUUGAACGCACAUUGCGCCCUUUGGCAUUCCGAAGGGCAUACCUGUUCGAGCGUCAGUUGCACAACUCAAGCACAGCUUGGUAUUGGGCGACGCGGUCCGCCGCGCGCCUCAAAUCGACCGGCUGGGUCUUUCGUCCCCUCAGCGUUGUGGAAACUAUUCGCUAAAGGGUGCCGCGGGAGGCCACGCCGUAAAACAACCCCAUUUCUAAGGUUGACCUCGGAUCAGGUAGGGAUACCCGCUGAACUUAAGC
rnacentral:misc_RNA from 1 species